UGGUUUCUUUGUUAAAUUUCCUCCAAGGGAGGAGCCUAUGGGAAGGACUGUCUUUGCUGAUCCACCUAGGCAUGAAGGCACAUGACUGGUUCAUCGUUCAGUACAGACCCUCAUCUCUCUGGUAGAAGCUCUGCGUUCCCUCAAGAGGACAUCACCAGAGAUGCAACAGCACUGCUGUCCUCAUCCGCGGGGAAGGCUAAAGACGGGAACAGUGUCCCAAAGCCUCUUCCCUGUCCUCGCUUCCAUACGUGCACUGCAUCUCGAGUGUGUUAAACCUGAGGUGUCAGCUCACCUGGAGUGGAACCGGACAAGCCCUGCCUGGGGAAAACCUCUGUCACAGUGUUUCCUGCCAGGAAACGUGGAGCUUAGGAGCGACUCUUCUGUGAUUUAUCAGUGACUCACGUGUUUGAGUAAAGCAAAACACACAAAGCCAAGCCCAGCUCAGCGGAAGGAAACAUGGGAUGAGCAAGCCUUGCGUGAUAGCCCAGGAUGUGCCCAUUGCGCUGAGCACGGGAUAAGGUCUCUACUCGGCCCCCUGUAACUGGUGUUAUAAGAACUGAUCUGGAAACUGCUGACUCUCUCUGUGUUUGUUCACUUGUUAAACUUCAAUAAAUGUAUUAAUCUUAGCUCUUUUGUAUACUUCCAGAGGAAAUACUUGUUUUAACGUUAAACCUUUCCAUAUAGCUGUCUAUCGGGGUGAGCCUGUAUAGACUGUGAAAAUACCUUGUCUGCUUCAGGAGCUCAGGAGAUCCAUUUCAGACUUUAAGGGCUUUGCCAUAGCAGAACAGAAGGUUUAGGGAAUAAACAAUAUAGUGGCAAACCUUGAUCAAACAACUGAAGGUCUUUCCUUCAAUCAACACGAUUUCCCCAAUAACAGACCAAAACCAGCUUCACUAUGUUAUUUGUCUGUUGCUUGAAUUGAGAUGGGAGAAAAAAGUUGCUUUACAGCAUUGUGGAAUUACAAUAACGAAGUAUUCCCUCACCAGAAUGUUAUAUAUUCUCUGGUCUUGCAAUUAAUCUUGUAACAGAGCAAACAAUGAUGUAGAAUUAAUCAACCACUGUAACAAAAAAAAAUUGUGAUGGAAAGAUGAACCCAUAUGAAAAUUAAUUUUUUGAGCCACAACUUGAAGCUUAAACAAGUGGAAAACAUGGUGCAAAUUGUAUCUAGCUUCAAGAAAGGGAUUUUAAUGAGAAAUGCAAUAGCACAGCAAUACUAAUUGGUUAUAGAAACAUAAUCCCCCUCAGCCCAGUGAGGGAAUGUCCUCCCCAUUCCUGCAUUUCCCCUUCCCUUGUGCAGCACACUAGAGAGAAACAACACACCGGGUGGCCAAAGGGCACAAGUUGUAUUGCAUCGAUCACUCGAAGUCAGCCCCAGAGCUGAAGUACCAGUGCAUUUGAGGGAGUUAUCGAGUGGAUUUCUGCUCUUGUGCGAAUGACUCAGACAGACGCUUUUGUCAAGGGCCGCAUAAUUAUUGAAAAUAGAAAGUGAUUGAACUUCCCAUGCAUGUUCUGUUCCUUACUAGAUGUAAGAUAAAUAGAAAGCACCCUGUGAGCUACCUUCAUGUCUGUCACCCACUGUGACAUCUGUCAAGUGAGCAGAUAAAACUUUGUCUCCUCAUUCAGGCUUUGGUCUGCAGCUGUGGACAGGACAACUGCUGUGAACAGACAUGUCACCUCGUGUCCAGACCCUUAAGCCUCAGUUGCUGGCUGUGACACACUCCAUGUGUUUGGGGGUGGUCGGCUGUAAAGAUCUGGAGGUGGGAGGGAGGCUUGCACAGCUGAGAAGUUUUCUGUGCUCUUCAUUUCCUUGAACCUUCAGAGAACUCUGGAUAACCUUUCCUGAAAAUGAGACUGCAUACUCAGCUAUGUUGCCAGGAUUGCUGGCACAACCCUAGAAUGGGGGAGCAGCUGAAUUACUCCUUCCACACUUCAUGGGUGAAGGGAAAUGAAGCCUCCCCUGAUGCAGCUGAAUUUCAUCUUGAAUGACAGGAGGUGUGGACUGAUCCAGGCUAUUUCUCAUAUCCUGCUCAACCAGCGCUUAACUAUCCUUACUUCUCUUAGUACUCCCCAGAGUAACUGAAACUGUGCUGAAUUUAUAGCAGUGAAAUGUUGUCCCUACUUUUCUUUGCAAGACUUGUGGGAAUACCAUUUUUUUAUUUUUCAAGGUUUAAGAGCUUGGUUGACUUCUACAAUUAUGCAAUAUUGUUUAAGGUAAAUUCCUACCUUUUCCAUUUGUGAGGCUGAAAUGAGUAAUUGGGUUAGAGUUCUCUUGUUGCUUGAGUUUUUUACAAGUUAAAUAGUAAAGGUGGUAAAUACUUAUAUGUUUGUGCUGAUUAGUAGUAUGACUUCUCUUGUUUUCAAGCUUAUUUCAGGAUUUGCAAAAUCUUGUUUUUAAAGGCUGAAAACAAAUCACAAACCUCUUAACAUAAAA